CCGUCUGGAAGGGGAGGGGAGCCGUCUGCCUUCCGCUUCUGGGCUGGAUUGACACACAAUGAGGAGCAGAGGCUGGGGAGACGCUCCACAAACACCGCUGUAAAUAAAUACAACAAUCACUGAGGCCAGAGAAACAUGGAGAACCAGUGCACAGUGCAGGUGAAGCUGGAGUUGGGCCACAGAGCCCAGCUAAGGAAGAAGGUGACAUCAGAAGGCUUCACCCAUGACUGGAUGGUGUAUGUCCGAGGGCCUGAGACCGGCGACAUCCAGCACUUUGUAGAAAAGGUUGUCUUCCGCCUGCAUGAGAGCUUCCCCAAACCCAAGAGAGUAUGCAAGGAGCCUCCGUACAAAGUGGAAGAGUCGGGCUACGCAGGCUUCCUCAUGCCUAUUGAGGUCUACUUCAAGAACAAGGAGGAGCCAAAAAAGGUGUGUUUCAACUAUGACCUAUUCCUCAACUUGGAGGGCAACCCACCAGUCAACCACCUGCGCUGUGAGAAGCUCACCUUCAACAACCCCACCAAAGAAUUCAGGAGAAAGCUAAUCAAAGCUGGAGGGGUAAUGGUGGUUCCUGAGGGGGCUGAAGCAGUGUCGAGGCCCAGUCCAGACUACCCGAUGCUCCCCACCAUCCCUCUUUCUGCCUUCUCAGAUCCCAAGAAGACAAAGACCUCUCAUCUGUCAAAGGAGCCAAGCAAAGAGGGAAGUGGUGGCAGCAGCAAAGGACCCAAACCGCACAAACUGACCAAGGAGCACCGUGAACGGCCCCGAAAAGACUCUGAGAGCAAAGCCACGUCGAAAGGAGACAACGACAGAGACGGAAGCAGCAAGAGUGGCCGCGAUCCGUCCUCUUCAUCUUCAAAAAAGCCGUUGGAGAUCAAAGUGAAAGAUGAAGUUAAAGUUCAACCCAAGGCUGCCUUCAAGGAGCCUAAACUCACCCUGAAGGAGUCAAAGAUGGAGGGCAUGUCCCCUAAAGGAGGGGGGGCUGGUAGCGGAGGGGGGGGUGGGGGAGGAGGCGGGGCAGGGCCCGCAGAGCCCAAAGCCCCGGGGAAACGACCCUCUAUUGUCGAGUCUCCCAAACCCAGCGCAAAGAAGCAGAAGAAGGGCAGCUCAGAGGGGCCGAAGGGGCCGACCGUCGUUGCCUUUACAGGAACUUCUCCUCGUGUCUCCUCCUCCUCCUCUGCAGCCAGCCAGCCGUACGCAGAGAAGAAACCUCCCAAAGAAAAAGGUCGCUGGGCCAAAGGCACGCAGGAGCCAAAAGAGCCCAAAAAACUCCCAGAGUCGGAAGAGUCGAAUUCAGAAGAUGAAGCAUCGUCAAAGUCAGAACAGUCUGCCCCUUCCAGUCCUUCUAAUUCCAGUUCGAGCUCUGACUCCAGUUCAGAUUCUGACUUUGAGCCGGGACAGAAACAAGGACAAGGCCCUCUACGAUCGAUGGUGGAGGAGAUCCAGUCGGAAGAGUCAGAUGAUGACGACAGCAGCUCAGAGGAGGAGACGCCCAUCAAGACCAACCCCCCCAACCGUGACUCUCGACUUAGCCUGGAAAGCGAGAGUGACAGCAGUGAUGGCUCACACAGCCCCAGUCGAGACCCUGCCCCACCGCCGCAGAAACACAGCUCCUCCAAUAACAAAGUUUCAGGCAGAAAGAGUCCAGAUUCCUCGUUUCGCUCAGAGAAGGUGUUGAAGAAGGGAUACGACAAGGUAGGAAGGGCCUACACAGAAGAACUGGUGGACCUCCAUCGCAGACUCAUGGCUUUAAGGGAGCGUAACGUCUUACAGCAGAUUGUGAACCUGAUUGAGGAGACGGGCCACUUCAAUGUGACCAACACCACCUUUGACUUUGACCUCUUUUCACUGGACGAGUCCACCGUCCGCAAACUACAGAGCUACCUGGAGGCAACGGCCACGUGACAGGAAGUGGAAACCGGCGUGGGGACCCCGGCCUGUGGAUGGCGGCGGCGGAGGUAGACUCGCCACCAUGUCUCCUCUUUUUAAGGAGGGGACAAUCAGCCACGUCAUGUCGCAGCCAAUUUCUAAAGGAAUAAAAGUAGACUGUUCAAACCCAUGGUUAGGUUAUCUUUAAGAGCAAGCCAGUGUGAAGCAGUAUUGUUGCUAUUGUUACAUGCAGUUUAAUUAACAUUGUGCACUAAUUUAAAACACUUCUACUGCAAUUAAAGUAACAGGAACUGUGUUUCAGGUGUCUAGUCUAUGACCUUGUUCAGACACCUGCCAGCCAUUUAGAGGUCUCUUUUUAUUUUCUGUUACCAUGGAAUAAUGAGCAAACCUUUAUGUACACAUUUACUCUCCAGCUUUUUGCAGCUAUUACAGACAGAACACUAUUACUUUUUCAUUUGUUUGAUCAUCGAAAAACCUAGAAGGAGAAAUGUUAAUCAAUUCUCUCUCCCUCCAAAACAUCUUUACAAUGGAGUCAAUAUACAAUUUAAUGAAGGCCAUAUCAUAAAGCCCACUAUUAGCUAAAGUCUAUGCACUGAUCCGUCAUUUUUUCAGUGCCGAUACCAGGGAGUACUGAUCCCAUACCUCUGUUUAAUUAGUGAGUUGUAUAUGCCUCCCUGCGUGGAACUGACUGGGAUCAGUUUUUGUAUGUGUAAGGCAACAUCAGGCUAGACUUAAACGUUUCUCUCCUAACUUUGUAAGACACAAUUUAACUAAUAAAUUGAAUACAUUUGUUUUAUUAGAAUAGUUGUGCAGUGCCAACUUGGUAACAACAUAAAAAUUAACAAAAUUAAGGAAUUAUAAUUCAAGUGUAAACCGCAAAAAAUAAACAGCAACAAAUUGGUUUAAAACUUAAACAGGUAUGUAUAAACGGAAUCAAAUAGAUUGGCCCUAUUGUCACUGGGAUCAGAUCCAGUCAUUUGAGAGUAAGAUGGGACCGGUGCAUCCCUAUAGCCUAUUCCUUUUAGUAUUUGAUUAUUGCACUUGAGCAUUAUUGUUUACUUUUUGUUACGUAUGUAAAUAUUGUUACAUUCCCACUAUGUUGCCUACCUUGAUCUUUUUAACUUACUUUUUGCUGCUGCUCUGACAUAAUUUGCCCAGAAACAUCCACAGUUUUAUCUUAUAAUAAUUAAAGUAAUUACAUGUAUAAUUAGAUACAAAUGUAUUUCUUGUUAUGCCUCUUCAAUGUAAAGAAACUCCUACCCACUUUGGUAAACUGUGGGUUAAACAGAUCCACGAGCUAGCUUUGUGGGACCGGUUUCCAGGAUCACUAGUGUUAGGUGCUGUGAAGCCAGAAAACCCCAAAGAAAGUCAGCAUGAGGUGAACUUGCUUCUUGAUUCAGGCCCCUGGUGUGUUAGUUCCUGUGGCCCCUCUAGGCUUCACACACAGACGCACACAUACACAGACUCACUGAGGCGCAGACCUUCAAUGAGUAAUUCCCUCUCUUCCCUCCUCCUCUGUUGUCUUCCUGCGUAUUUUAUUCUGACACUUUGAUAGCUUUAAUGCUUCUCUUUCUGUUCUGUUGCCUGUUUGGCUCAGCGACAUGUACACACUCCCUCUGCCCUUACUGUAUACGCCGUCUUAGAAUGGAAAAUAUGUCUCAAAAAGAGGAAAAAAACUGGAUUCCUGCCUCUUUAUGUGCCCUGCAGUAACCCCCCUCCUGCCCUCACUUCUUACCCCGGCCCGCACACAUUUUCUCUAGGUGUGCCUCUGUCAACAGAACUUCAGGCCGUGAUUACUGAGAAUGAACUUUGCAACUUGUCUGAGCGAUGUUUGUGCGUCUGCCAGUGUGUUUGUCAGCGAUAGGAGAGAUUUUAAAAACCAACCUUCCGGUUCUCUGUGCAUCAAUGUGGGAACAUUUAAGUCCUAGUUCAUGAACUCUGACCUUUGACCAGGCACUCAUUCAGUCCCUUGUGGUGGUUGAGAAGGGGAGGUUACAUGGGGACUCGAGAGAAGCCCCACUGUCUACCCACAGUCAAUGUUUUAUUUAUGGACCUCUGCACUUUUGGCUGUGAUGACUUCAGUACUUAAGUAGUUACCUGAACUGUAUUUUUAAGGAUUUUAUACAAUAUUUACAUGCAAUACGAUAUGAAUUGAUUUUUUUUCUUCUUCUUUGCCAGCCAUUUUCUUUUUGUUUGUUUCUUAUUUAAUUGUCUUUAUUUAGGCAUGAUUUGUCACUAUUAUUCACAUACAAAAUGCCUGUUGAAUCUAUUUUAGGCGUAAAUCAUGAUGGGGGAUGUUCCCUGGAUGUUUUGUGUGUCAUGAUUCUGAUGACAGCUGAACACCAAGAAGCAGGUGUUGGAAAAUGUUUGCUGGAUGAGCUAAACUUUAUCACCCUAGGCUUCCAGUAGGAAUAACUGGACCAGAACGAGGACAAGUGUAGUCCAACACUUUGGUUCAGGGAACUAAACUGUUGAGCUAUAAAUGUUUAUGCUCUGUACCAUGUCCAGUUAUGAUUUGAGUGUAUUUCUAAACAUUCAUAGAAGCCUUUACUUAAAACAAAAACGCUCACCUAAUUUCAUUAUGUUAUGACAACUUGAGCCUGAAGAAACACAUCAUAGGAAACAAUCGAGUUGUGAAGUGGGUUGGAGCUGUUUUGAGCGCCACUGGUACCGGAAGUAAAAGUGCCAUUCUUUUCCCCCCAACACAGUGCUGUGUUACUCCCAGUUGGAGCACUUCUGCGGCUUUGAUCAACAUGAAACUCCUGGUUCAAUUGUUAAGUCCAAAUGAUUGAAAAAACGUCGUUAGUUUACUACUCCCAAGGAGCUUUGCUGCAAUAAACAUCCAAUCACAGAGCUUACAUUUUAUGUAGGCUAAACUGAUUUUACAAUCGGCCCCUUAAAUCGGUUCCCCUUUU